UGAAGGCGGCAGAGAUAAGAGGGGAACGAGGGGGCUGGAGAGGAAGACUGUGUCCCCUCGAGGUGAGAGUGGAGCAGACGUCAAAUGUUUGAUUACGUGAGUGGGAAGGUUGUCUCCUGAAUUCACAGACACUCCGGCCAGUUCGGUUCGCUGAGCACCUAACACAUUAGUGGAUGGACUACAGUCAGCAGACUGACUGGGUUUGAUAUCUGGAAUCUGGUCCAAGAAACUGCCAGACGUGAGAAAACAGGACACUUUUGUCCAAAGAGAGCAACAACCAGGGGACUUUAUGAUGACGUUUACACUCACUGGCUUGCAUGAGCUGACCCUGACGACCAAACACCUGAGAGAAGGGGCUCCGGCUGCAGGUGAGCAUCUCCUCCAUGGCUGAGCUCCUCUGGGAGGGGAAAAGGUCCUUCGUCUUCAGAAAGAGAAAGUGAACUGAGGGUCAGCCUCCGAGCGUGGAGAAGGUCGGCUGUUACACUGGAGCAAUCCUCUCCUCUCACUCUUUCAGCUGACUGCUAAUUUGCCUUUGAAGCCACCUCACGACCUCUCCUACGCCUUUCCCAGGGCUGUCAUUUGCUUUUUUUUUUUUUUUUUUUUUUGCAGCUGCUUCCCCCGCUGACUGCAGAUCAGUCCUCCGUUGUCGUUGCCUCAGAUGCCGUCAGAGUUGUUGCUGCUCCUCAGCUGAUGGGAGAUCUGUGUUGGGUUGCUCACAGCCUGCUCAUUAGUGCUCCAGUGUGGCGCUGCUUCAGACAGAGAGCACAGCAAACACAGCAUGAACAAAGCAAGAGAGAGAGUGGGAGAGAGAGAGAGAGAGGGAUGAGGAGAAGAAGCCUGCUGCAGAGAGAAGACAGACUCUCUCCCCUGACAAAAGUGAGAAUAGAGAUGACUGUGUGUGCAUGUGUGAAAGUGUGUGUAUAGCCACUUUUAACAUUAUACUGCUGCUGCUGCUGCUGCUGCUGCUGCUGCUUGUAGUUGAGGGCUGUGGUUUCCCCAUUCUCUUUUAUCUCUCUCUUUUUAAUCCAAUCCCACUCAUCUGUGGUAAUUUGACAGACAUAGAUGUUGUGAAAUUGACAAGACGCACAAGAGUGUAAGGAUGAUAACAUCUGUCUGUCAGGGUGCUGUUGAAUAUAUGCUGCAAACACAUACCAGCGUGCUCUGGUGCGGCCCGAGGUCUGUUCAUUCACUUUCAUACAUUUUAGAUGGAAGCUUGGAAGUCACACAUAGAAAACAAAAAAAGAACUCACAGUUCCUCCUAAACACGAGCGCCAUAUAGAACAUAGAGACGAACUGAAAAUUAAUAGAAGCAAUCAUGACAUUGUUGAGCAGUUGCAGGUAAGGAUGGAUUGGGAUUUUUCCCUGCUCAAUUGAAUACAGGUCUCUCACCUGUCAUUCUGUCUGUGCAGUUACAUUUUUAUGCGUCAUUCACCUCAGCCAUUACGUUUUCUCCCUUUUCUCCUCUUCUCUGUGACCCACUGUGUUUGAUUCCUAAAUCCAACCUAAAUUUCCUUCAGGAUUAUAAAGUUUAACUUAUUUCUUAUUUAUUCUCUCUCUCUCUCUCUCUCUCUCUCUCUCUCUCUCUCUCUCCUCCUUACUCUCCUACAUGAGGAUUGUUUUCCAAAUAUAGACGGGGAAGUCUGAUCCUGCAUCUCUCUGUCUCUCACUCACACACAAAACAGUCAGGUGUAUGCAGGUUGUAUGCAGCACUUUGUGCUUGUGCAGACAAAAAAUAGCACAUUCGUGAAUCCCCCUCAAAGCAAAACAGGAAUUGUGAAGAAAAAAACUCAACCACGGACACAAAAACCAGUUUCAAACUAAAGGGGCCAGUGGAUCAUUAAAAAUGGAUCUGCAUCCUUUAUUAAUGUCCUCAUUACCAUGUCUGUUCUGGUUCCACAUGAACAGCAUGCAGAAAGGGAAGAAGAGAAUUGUAAAAACUACUUUAUCCCUAUAUCCUGUUGGUAAUAUUGUUCCCACAGAAUGCUGCUUGGAGAGGGUUAGUUACCUUUAUAAUGCCAGAAUUAGUCUUUGCUUUGAACUCAGUCUUACAUAAGUUAUUGGAGGAAGCAAAUUAGCUGUUAUACAAGGUCUCCAAGCCUUCAAUAUUCAAAUAUUUGAAUUUUCUUUAACUAGAGAACUUCUAUUGAGACUUCUAGGCGUCUGCUUUUCGGGGGACAUCUGCCCCAAACUGUUUCUGACUACACCAAAAAAAAAAAAACCCAACACAACAUGCAUUUAAAAUUGACGUUCGGUUCAGUAAAGAGUUCAUUUUGCUACUAAAAGAACAUCGAUGUCACAUCAGCCAGAAGAAGCAGUGUGUGGUGUGACACCUCUCUGUCUUCACAGAUCCCUGUCAUCAUCAUCAUCAUGCACUGUUCACCUGCACAUGGAAACUUAACCUCACCUCCAGGUGACACAAUACAUCAUUCAAACUCUACCAGUCUUUGUGCCUGGUAGAGUUUGUCCUGUACCUGUUUUCUCUUUUCGACAAAACAGGACAGACCCUGCAGCUCACCGAGGGGAAGAAAUAUGUCUCACGCUAUGUUACUGGUUAUAGUUCAGUAUUAAUAUUGUUUAUCAAACUUUCAAUAAAGAUGAAGAAACGAAUGAGAAGAUCAAAGGUUUCUCCUCAGACUUCUGGGAUUGAUGUUUUUGUUUUCGAUCAUCUCUGAUCGUGUGUCCUCUCCUCUCAUCAUAACUUCCUUUGAGAAUUCAACAUGGCCCUGGGCUAAGAUCCUCAGCUGUGUUGAGCAUACAAAUGCAGCCUUGCAGUUUGAAGUUAUUGCUGAGCUUGUGAGCUCUGGGAGAUCUUGUACCUUAGGGCUGUGGUUUCUCUCUCUAGGUUCACUGGCACAACUCCAUACUAAAAAUCAACUGCCAGGCACUGCUGCUGCUUAAAGCACCUGAAUGUUUAUCCCUUAUUCCCAGAGACUGUAAUUAGACUUCUUUUUUUUUUUUGAUAUUCAUAAUUACUUAAAGGGCAUCAGGGUGUGUUAAAAGCCUUUAUACACACCUGCAACUAGUCGUAAGGGAAUACAGUAUCUGACAGCUUCUGGUUUUCCUCAGUUCAACUACAAAACAUGUUGCAACAUGCUCUCAAAACCUUGUGUGUUCAGUUUGAGCAGAAUUGCAGUUUGCUGGAGCCUUUCACACACGUCUAAGAGAAAAUAAAGCUCCAAACCACUUGUGUUGAUUUGUCACAAAAAGCACUAAAAGCCUCUGAGCGGUGAAAAUAUAAGCUUCACCAGAGGGAGAACAAACCCACAAGCCUUUACGUAACAGCAGAGCAGACUGAACAAGCUUGCUUCACCUGCUGUUGCCGAGUCGUGUGCAUCUGCAUUUUAUUAGUGUUGGCUAUAGCUAUGACACAAGGGGAUGGGGAGAAUUACAGUGAUUUGUCAGUCACAGACUGAUGUACGGCACAGCUACUGUUUCUGGUAAUACUGAAGAAUCAAAAAAAAAAAAAAGAUCUUUCCCCUGGACCCUUAUGUUAUUUGCCUGCAUCAAAUAAAAGAUUCUGCAUAACUGCCAAAAUUCCAAUUAAAUUCAUGCCCACUGUGCUGCAUGUUGAUGAUCAAUUAUACUCAGGCAGAGAUUACUUUUUGUCUGUUAUUGUUUGAUUGAGAGAGCGUGCUGACACAGGCCAGCACUUGGACCUGGUCUCUACAGGCAGGAGAAGCUGUUGCCUUUCUGUGGGUAAGGAUUAAUUUUGAGGAAGAUUAAAGUCAACAGCCAUGUUUUAUUUAAAUGGGGGUGAAUUGGCCUAUCAAAGCUUCUGCCAUUCAAAGAUGUCUUAUGUUGGUAAAAAUAUUCAUUUCUAUGCUGUACUAUACAAGUGCUCCCACUCAAGCACGAUAUUUAAAGAUACCCUGUGGAUAUUUUCACUACUCAUAGCUACAGCACAAUGUUUAUAUCAGUGGGUCUGUUUCAAUGGUUUCGCACUCAGACCUCCUCUGAUUUACACGUUUUAACAUGUUUGUUACACACAAAGCACAUGCAGUAACUGAAUGUAAAUAUAACUUUGUUUACAAAAAAACACUUCCUAUGUACAGGUUAAACAAAUGAGAUACAAUGUGUAGCUUUAGAGGCAUUGCACCCUUUGAGUUUUGGACUUAUACUAAAUAAAUCUUUUAAAAAUGA